rnacentral:rRNA from 1 species
AUUGAACGCUGGCGGCAGGCCUAACACAUGCAAGUCGAACGAGUGGCGGACGGGUGAGUAAUGUCUGGGAAACUGCCUGAUGGAGGGGGAUAACUACUGGAAACGGUAGCUAAUACCGCAUACCAUCGGAUGUGCCCAGAUGGGAUUAGCUAGUAGGUGGGGUAAAGGCUCACCUAGGCGACGAUCCCUAGCUGGUCUGAGAGGAUGACCAGCCACACUGGAACUUAGACACGGUCCAGACUCCUACGGGAGGCAGCAGUGGGGAAUAUUGCCAAAUGGGCGGAAGCCUGAUGGAGCCAAGCCGCGUGGAUGAAGAAGGGCUUCGGGUUGUAAAGUACUUUCAGCGGGGAAGCGUUACCCGCAGAAGAAGCACCGGCUAACUCCGUGCCAGCAGCCGCGGUAAUUC